GGCCUGAGAGGGUGACCGGCCACACUGGGACUGAGACACGGCCCAGACUCCUACGGGAGGCAGCAGUGGGGAAUAUUGCACAAUGGGCGGAAGCCUGAUGCAGCAACGCCGCGUGAGGGAUGACGGCCUUCGGGUUGUAAACCUCUUUUAGCAGGGAAGAAGCGAAAGUGACGGUACCUGCAGAAAAAGCGCCGGCUAACUACGUGCCAGCAGCCGCGGUAAUACGUAGGGCGCAAGCGUUAUCCGGAAUUAUUGGGCGUAAAGAGCUCGUAGGCGGUCUGUCGCGUCUGCUGUGAAAACCCGAGGCUCAACCUCGGGCCUGCAGUGGGUACGGGCAGACUAGAGUGCGGUAGG
rnacentral:rRNA from 1 species